rnacentral:ncRNA from 1 species
CCUCCGCAACGGCUUCCUGGCGCGGACGGGUCAAUUUCCAAUGGAGCA